rnacentral:rRNA from 1 species
UACGGAGGAUGCAAGCGUUAUCCGGAAUGAUUGGGCGUAAAGGGUCCGCAGGUGGCAGUGUAAGUCUGCUGUCAAAGAAUGAGGCUUAACCUUAUCAAGGCAGUGGAAACUACACAGCUAGAGUACGGUCGGGGUAGAAGGAAUUCCUGGUGUAGCGGUGAAAUGCGCAGAUAUCAGGAGGAACACCGGUGGCGAAGGCGGGUCUCUGGGCCGUAACUGACGCUGAGGAGCGAAAGCGUGGGGAGCGAACAGG